rnacentral:rRNA from 2 species
UUGGAGGGCAAGUCUGGUGCCAGCAGCCGCGGUAAUUCCAGCUCCAAUAGCGUAUAUUAACGUUGUUGCAGUUAAAAAGCUCGUAGUUGAAUUUCGGGGUUAGUAGGUUGGUCAUGCCUCUGGUAUGUACUGGUCUCACUGAUUCCUCCUUCCUGAUGAACCGUAAUGCCAUUAAUUUGGUGUUGCGGGGAAUUUGGACUGUUACUUUGAAAAAAUUAGAGUGUUUAAAGCAAGCUAACGCUUGAAUACAUUAGCAUGGAAUAAUGAAAUAGGACGUUCGAUCCUAUUUUGUUGGUUUCUAGGAUUGACGUAAUGAUUAAUAGGGAUAGCUGGGGGCAUUAGUAUUCAAUUGUCAGAGGUGAAAUUCUUGGAUUUAUUGAAGACUAACUACUGCGAAAGCAUUUGCCAAGGAUGUUUUCAUUAAUCAAGAACGAAAGUUAGGGGAUCGAAGACGAUCAGAUACCGUCGUAGUCUUAACCAUAAACUAUGCCGACUAGGGAUCGGAUGAUGUUAAUUUUUUAAUGACUCAUUCGGCGCCUUACGGGAAAC